UACGAAGGGGGCUAGCGUUGUUCGGAAUUACUGGGCGUAAAGGGCGCGUAGGCGGCCAUUCAAGUUAGGUGUGAAAGCCCUGGGCUCAACCUAGGAAUUGCACUUGAUACUGUUUGGCUUGAGUUCGGGAGAGGUGAGUGGAAUUCCCAGUGUAGAGGUGAAAUUCGUAGAUAUUGGGAAGAACACCAGUGGCGAAGGCGGCUCACUGGACCGACACUGACGCUGAGGCGCGAAAGCGUGGGGAGCAAACAGG
rnacentral:rRNA from 1 species